rnacentral:tRNA from 1 species
ACGGAGUUGCUAGCACGCUUUCUUUGCAAGGAAGAGGUCAUUAGUUCGAUU